UGUUGCCGCCCCCCAAAAACAGGAUCAGUACAAAUAUGGCGUUAUUUCGACCAGCAUGGCUGCUCAUCUUUGUUCUGCAUGGCCCAUCUUUACAAUGUCUUCCUUCAACAAUUUGUUGCGAGGAAGACUUCGCCUCAUGUCUGGGGGAAUGCGAGUGCAUUUUCUUUACGGUGGGGAUGACCGGAGUUGUCGAUACUCUCCACAUCCGAUUUGGCGAAGGGUUGCGCCGGAUUGAAUUUAGUUUCAAGAAAAUAACGGAUAUCGGCGAUGUCCACCCCGCUAGAGGUAAGUGUGUCCACACCCAACCCCCAUUUAUACAUACUACUUUUUUUUCUUUAACAAUGCAUAAUUAAUAUUAUUCUGAUUUUUUUAAGUCGAUUUGUCCGAUAAAUUGAUCAUUUAACAUCCAUCAAUGCAUAUUAGUUAUAGCCGUGUGCCCUCCCCCCAAUAACAUAUUAAUUAUAGUCUAGUCGUAAGUUUUUCUUUUUUUCCCCCUCUGUAGACCAGGGAGAUGAGACUACACCCCUGUCCUCCAGUCCCCGUCGCACUACGCAUGUUUUCUUUUUCUCCCCCCUGUAGACUACGUUGAUGAGAUAACACCCCCGUCCUCCGUCGCACCACGCAUGACCACGCUGAUGAGCUCCAAUGAUGAACACCCAAUGAUGAACACCCACGUUCUCCAACCCCCGUCGCACUACGCAUG